rnacentral:lncRNA from 1 species
AUGGAGAGAAAUGGAUUGGGACCGGACCGACGAUCAUAUACCAUCAUGAUUCAUGGACACUUUGAAAUUGGGAGGAUAAAGGAUGCUAUGCGUUAUUUCAGGGAAAUGACGUCUAAGGGGAUGGUGCUGGAACCGAAAACGGAGAAAUUAGUUAUUUCCAUGAAUGGUCAGUUGAAUGAGAGAAGAGGAAAACAAGAAGGAACUGAUGUUGAGGCAUCUAAUGUUUGA